GAUGAACGCUAGCGGCAGGCUUAACACAUGCAAGUCGAGGGGUAGAGGAAGCUUGCUUCCUUGAGACCGGCGCACGGGUGCGUAACGCGUAUACAAUCUACCUUUUACAGAGGGAUAGCCCAGAGAAAUUUGGAUUAAUACCUCAUAGUAUUUUUGAAUCGCAUGAUUUGAUUAUUAAAGUUCCAACGGUAAAGAUGAGUAUGCGUCCAUUAGCUAGAUGGUAAGGUAACGGCUUACCAAGGCUACGAUGGGUAGGGGUCCUGAGAGGGAGAUCCCCCACACUGGUACUGAGACACGGACCAGACUCCUACGGAGGCAGCAGUGAGGAAUAUUGGACAAUGGGCGCAAGCCUGAUCCAGCCAUGCCGCGUGCAGGAUGACGGUCCUAUGGAUUGUAAACUGCUUUUAUACAGGAAGAAACACUCCGACGUGUCGGAGCUUGACGGUACUGUAAGAAUAAGGAUCGGCUAAACUCCGUGCCAGCAGCCGC
rnacentral:rRNA from 1 species